UGAAGGAAAACCUGACUCUGCCUGAAAGAGGCGUCAGCAUCUCUUGGAGGGUGAGGGUGGGAGAGACCAGGACUCGGCAGGAGGCAACAACAAGCUUCUUUUGUUGCCGUCUUGAUCCCAACAGGCCUCCAAAGACUCAAAUACUGGAAGAAACUGACAACCGCCAGGGUCAUGCUUCCUUCUGUUCUUUUCUGAGGAUGUACCGACAAAAAGGGACCACCUCCCAGAGGGGGCCGUCAGCGAACGUCAAAGACAUUAUCUCUGUACGUUUCCCCUGAGGCCUUACUACCGGAAAGGCUGCGGACCCGGAGCUGUGGAACAGGUGACCGGACUCUGGCCCCAGGCUGCGGGCACUCGGCGGCGGCAAGACAGAGAAGGCCAGGCUGCGCAGGCGGCUGUGAAAACCUGCCCUGCGAGUCUAAAGCAGAAGCGAGGCCCCCGCGGGAGCUGCGGCCACACUGCUCGGCUUGGCGUGUCAGAACAGGAGAGUGGAGCGGCGGCUGUCGGUGUAAAGCACGGUUUCAACCGCGGGAAGCUCGACAGAAGACGGAGUCCUAACCAGCAUUGCAUGGCGGGCCACCUAAUGGCUGACAGCGGCCUCUCAGUUUAGACAACACAGGCAGUAAAAACCCAGAUUUAGACGUCCACUUCCAAGCUCACUCCCACAGCCCAUCUACCACCGGGUCCUGCCCCUCCCCAAGGGGUCCCGCGCCUGCCUGUUUCUACCACCACACUGCUCUCCUAAGUCUGCACCUGCUGCUUCCAGUGUCUUCAAAUAAAAACCAAUUCUAAUAUUAGUAACAUGCCAA